rnacentral:lncRNA from 1 species
CUGAAAGACACUGUGGGCUGGGGGGUAGCUGAUGGAGCUGGGGAUUUUCAGAAGGAUGAAGAACACUUCCUUAUACCAUUCUGCAAGGUGCUUCUUAAUGCAAUCUUUAGUGCAAGCAGAAGGGAAAAACCACAUGGACACACCUUACUUCUCUCAUCACUGGCCCUGGCUAACUCAGUGUGGAGAGUUGUCUCAGAAGAAAGGGUUCACUGUGUGGCUGACCGCGCUCACUGUGCAAUACACAGG